rnacentral:sRNA from 1 species
CGCGCGCACACACACACACACACACACACCCCCCAACACACACUCCCUGUCCCCUUUCUCCACCCUGCAAGCUAGUUGCAUUUAGCUCACAGAGCCUGGGCUGCGACUUGAAAGAGUUUAGGCAGCAACAGAGUGACCCUGGGGGUGCUCUUGACCGACAGCCGCACCCCCGGCGUCUAGGACCUCCGAGCAGGGAUGCAUCUGGAGGUCUAGGGAAGCACUUCCACCCCCUCCUCUCCUCAACCCUGGCAGGAUGUGCCCGAAAUGCCAGCUCCUCCUUGGUGUUCUCCUUUCAGGAUUUGAAUUCAAAUCCCAUUGGCAGCCCUGAUACCGCUGGGGGAAGGGUGAGGCUACUGCUGCUUCAAGACAGUGACGUUUCUCUCCGGUCAGCUGUCAGGAGCGCUGCUGGGUCUUACUGGGGAUCUGGCCAGCCUUGGGGGCCCUUGGAGCCCUGGCCCAGUGGAAGCUCGUGCCUGAGGAACAUGGAGGCCACGCUAAUGAGUUACUUCCAGAGUCUUCAAGAGUGCCAACUGGGACCAGGACCCCAGACCACAGCCCCCCACACCGUCCUGGACCUGGAUUCUGACUGUGGUUCCACUGUACCCCUCACCUUAAUCUCUGGUUCUAACCAGACCUGAGCCUAGACUUCCACUUUUUCCCUUACCCCUGUGAGGGCCUGGGAACACUAGGUGGGCAGGGUUUGAGCCCACAGGACCUGCACACAAACUUCCCCACCUCUUGGACUUGGGGACAGGAUCUGUGCCUCAACCCAGACCAGCUUUGUAGGGAUAUGUUCCAAGAACAGAGAAGAGUCUUAUGGGGAAGGGGGAGGAAGGGAAGUAUGAAUAUUUACCUCUGACCAAUAAUAGAGGUGCCCUGGUCCC